rnacentral:lncRNA from 1 species
GGGAGCUCAGCUAUCAGCUGGAGCAGCCCAAGAGGGUCCAGGGUUAAACCCACUUAAUGAUUUCUAGGAAGACUUCAAUGACAGGGGGUUGCAGCAGGCUAGAAAGGGCACUGAGAUGCUGCUUCAGCUGUUCAACGAGGGAGGUUUUGCUCCUCCUCAUCAGUCUGCAUUUGUUUCUUGUUUCUGCAGUGUUUGUCAGAGAACUGGGAUCCUGGUCAAGGAAGGCUGUUGUCAGACAGCUGUUUGAUGCAAAGCAGACUGAUAUAUGACGUGGUCCCUGUGGGAAGCUGGGGGAGAUGCACACAGGAGCCAGCCCACCCUCACCUGCCUCCCUUCCCUGUGUCACACUGUGACAUAUUCGCCAUCCUCACGGAGCCUUCUGCCUUCCUUCGGUGCUGAUGGGCCAUCUCCCACCUCUGAGGAGUCUUUGAGGAAGGCAACUUACGUUGCAUCAACAAACAGGCCCUGCCUAAUUUCCCCAUGGUUCUGCUAUAUCCCUGUCUUUGGAAACGCAGCUCCCCUCUCUCUUCU